rnacentral:rRNA from 1 species
UAUUGCACAAUGGGCGAAAGCCUGAUGCAGCGACGCCGCGUGGGGGAUGACGGCCUUCGGGUUGUAAACCCCUUUCAGUAGGGAAGAAGCGAGAGUGACGGUACCUGCAGAAGAAGCGCCGGCUAACUACGUGCCAGCAGCCGCGGUAAUACGUAGGGCGCAAGCGUUGUCCGGAAUUAUUGGGCGUAAAGAGCUUGUAGGUGGCUUGUCGCGUCUGCCGUGAAAACCCGAGGCUCAACCUCGGGCGUGCGGUGGGUACGGGCAGGCUAGAGUGUGGUAGGGGAGACUGGAACUCCUGGUGUAGCGGUGAAAUGCGCAGAUAUCAGGAAGAACACCGAUGGCGAAGGCAGGUCUCUGGGCCAUUACUGACACUGAGAAGCGAAAGCAUGGGUAGCGAACAG